GACGUAGGGCGCGAGCGUUGUCCGGAUUUAUUGGGCGUAAAGAGCUCGUAGGCGGCUUGUCGCGUCGUUCGUGAAAACCCGGGGCUCAACUCCGGGCUUGCGGGCGAUACGGGCAGGCUAGAGUUCGGUAGGGGAGACUGGAAUUCCUGGUGUAGCGGUGAAAUGCGCAGAUAUCAGGAGGAACACCGGUGGCGAAGGCGGGGUCUCUGGGCCGAUACUGACGCUGAGGAGCGAAAGCGUGGGGAGCGAACAGGA
rnacentral:rRNA from 1 species